rfam:Eggerthella sp. CAG:368 genomic scaffold, scf40
CCAGUGGGUCGGGCAACCGCGCGUUUAACGUGAGGAAAGUCCGGGCUUCGAAAGGCAGGAUGCCAGUUAACGGCUGGGCGAGGCGACUCGACGGAUUAGUGCCACAGAAAAGGAAACUCCCUCGCUUAGCGAGAGAAAAGCUGAAACGGUGCGGUAAGAGCGCACCAGCGUAUUGGUAACAAUGCGGCUUGGUAAACCCCAUCCGAAGCAAGCGCAAAUAGGAACGCUAUACGGCCGCCUUUCCGUGCGUUCGGGUUGCGUGCUAGAGUUGCAUGGCGACAUGCAAUCGAGAUAAAUGGUUGCUUAUUACAGAACCCGGCUUAUAGACCCACUGAUAUU